UCAAGAUGUAACUGCCAUGGGGUAGGAAGCCCGGAAAGUUCUCCGCUGAUCGGCCGCAGAGACCCAGAAGGAAACCUCCGCCCCACGGAGCAGCCACAGUUCUGCACCUAACACAGGACUGCAUGCUGAAGAGAAACUUGCUACGGGGGGAGUCAGCAAUGAGAGAGACCAUUGUGGGGUACAGUUGUUCCUGGUUUUUCAUAUGCGGAACCAGAGGAUCAGCAACAUGAGGCAGCAUUGUGUGACCAUCAGAUCUUGUAUCCACACUCCAGCUCCAGGUCCCUUCCACUAGCCCACUUGUCACCUGUGUGACCGCAGCAAGGUGGGCAGCACUGGAUGUCCUUAUUCAGGGCCUUGACAACCUCCCCAACAACACAGAUGUGGGCAGCUGCUUCCAUCCCCGUUAUCUCUGUGGACUGAGCACUGUCUCUCCAACCCCCCAUGUGCAAACACAUCAGCUGGGAUCUUGUUACACAGUAGGUCCCAGUUCAGCGGGCCAGAGAAUGCAGCAAGAGUUUGCAUUUCUAACAAGCACCCAGGGCA